CAUAUUCAAACCUGCUCAACCUCAUUGAAUAUCAGAGAAAUGCAGAUCAAAACUACAAUAAAAUAGCAUCUCACCCCAGUAAAAAUGGCUCAUAUCCAAAAGACAGGUAAUAACAAAAGCUGGCAAGGAUGUAGAGAAAAGGGAACUUUCAUGUACUGUGAA